AUAUUGGUCACUGGGUGCAAGCCUGAACCAGCCAUCCCGCGUGAAGGACGACGGCCCUAUGGGUUGUAAACUUCUUUUGUAUAGGGAUAAACCUACCCUCGUGAGGGUAGCUGAAGGUACUAUACGAAUAAGCACCGGCUACCUCCGUGCCAGCAGCCGCGGUAGUACGGAGGGUGCAAGCGUUAUCCGGCGUUAUUGGGUUUAAAGGGUCCGUAGGCGGACUUAUAAGUCAGUGGUGAAAGCCUGUCGCUUAACGAUAGAACUGACAUUGCUACUGUAAGUCUUGAGUAUAUUUGAGGUAGCUGGAAGAAGUAGUGUAGCGGUGAAAUGCAUAGAUAUUACUUAGAACACCAAUUGCGAAGGCAGGUUACCAAGAUAU
rnacentral:rRNA from 1 species